GGGUCAGUAGGUCGGUCGUGCCACCGGUACGUACUGGUCUCACUGAUUCCUCCUUCCUGAAGAACCGUAAUGCCAUUAAUUUGGUGUUGCGGGGAAACAGGACUGUUACUUUGAAAAAAUUAGAGUGUUUAAAGCAAGCUAACGCUUGAAUACAUUAGCAUGGAAUAAUGAAAUAGGACGAUCGAUCCCAUUUUGUUGGUUUCUAGGAUUGACGUA
rnacentral:rRNA from 1 species